rnacentral:hammerhead_ribozyme from 1 species
AUCCAACUGACGAGUCCCAAAUAAGACGAAAAGCGUGUCCUGGAU